UACGGAGGGUGCAAGCAUUAAUCGGAUUUAUUGGGCGUAAAGGGCGCGUAGGCGGUCGUGACAAGUCACUUGUGAAAUCUCCGGGCUUAACUCGGAACGGUCAAGUGAUACUGUCGGACUAGAGUACAGAAGGGGCAACUGGAAUUCUCGGUGUAGCGGUGAAAUGCGUAGAUAUCGAGAGGAACACCUGCGGCGAAGGCGGGUUGCUGGGCUGAUACUGACGCUGAGGCGCGAAAGCCAGGGGAGCGAACGGG
rnacentral:rRNA from 1 species